UUAAGUUCAGCGGGUAUCCCUACCUGAUCCGAGGUCAAGCGUGAAAAAAAAAGGCUUGAUGGAUGCCAACAAACACAGUAGGAGGCGCAAAAUGUGCUGCGCUCCAACACCGUUCUGCCGGCUGCCAAUUGAUUUAAGGCGAGUCCCAUACAGAGAGAGUAGGACAAACACCCAACACCAAGCAGAGCUUGAAUGUACAA
rnacentral:misc_RNA from 1 species